UGGGGAAUUGUUCACAAUGGGCGCAAGCCUGAUGACGCAACGCCGCGUGGGGGAUGAAGGUCUUCGGAUCGUAAACCCCUGUCGAAUGGGACGAAAGACUCGCGAGUGAAUACUUCGCGAGAGUGACGGUACCGUUAAAGGGAGCCACGGCUAACUCUGUGCCAGCAGCCGCGGUAAUACAGAGGUGGCAAGCGUUGUUCGGAAUUACUGGGCGUAAAGGGCGCGUAGGCGGCCCUCUAAGUCAGACGUGAAAUCCCCCGGCUUAACCUGGGAACUGCGUCUGAUACUGGAGGGCUUGAGUAUGGGAGAGGGAUGUAGAAUUCCAGGUGUAGCGGUGAAAUGCGUAGAUAUCUGGAGGAAUACCGGUGGCGAAGGCGGCAUCCUGGACCAUUACUGACGCUGAGGCGCGAAAGCUAGGGGAGCAAACGGGAUUAGAUACCCCCGUAGUCCCUGAGCGGGCUGGCAAGGCGCAU
rnacentral:rRNA from 1 species